rnacentral:rRNA from 1 species
UGCCCUAGUAACGGCGAGUGAAGCGGCAACAGCUCAAAUUUGAAAUCUGGCACCCGCCCGAGUUGUAAUUUGUAGAGGAUGCUUCUAGGCAGCGGCCGGUCUAAGUUUCUUGGAACAGGACGUCAUAGAGGGUGAGAAUCCCGUAUGUGACCGGCUGGCACCUUACACGUAGCUCCUUCGACGAGUCGAGUUGUUUGGGAAUGCAGCUCUAAAUGGGAGGUAAAUUUCUUCUAAAGCUAAAUACCGGCCAGAGACCGAUAGCGCACAAGUAGAGUGAUCGAAAGAUGAAAAGCACUUUGGAAAGAGAGUUAAAAAGCACGUGAAAUUGUUAAAAGGGAAGCGCUUGCGACCAGACUUGUCGGCGGUGUUCCGCCGGUCUUCUGACCGGUCUACUCGCCGCCUGCAGGCCAGCGUCGUCUGGGGCCGCCGGAGAUAGGCGUCGGGAAUGUAGCUCCUCCGGGAGUGUUAUAGCCCGUCGCACAAUACGGUGCGCGCCGGGCGAUGUCCGCGCUUCGGCAAGGACGCUGGCGUAAUGGUCGUAAGCGGCUCGUCGUGAAACACGGACCCAGGAGUCGAUCAAUCGUGCGAGUGUUCGGGUGGAAACCCUUGCGCGCAAUGAAAGUGAAC